rnacentral:rRNA from 1 species
UUCGCAAUGCCCGAAAGGGUGACGAAGCGACGCCGCGUGUGGGAAGAAGGCCUUCGGGUUGUAAACCACUGUCGGGAGUUAAGAAAUGCAAGGAUAUUAAUAGUGUCUUUGUUUGACUAAGGCUCCGGAGGAAGCCACGGCUAACUCUGUGCCAGCAGCCGCGGUAAUACAGAGGCGGCAAGCGUUGUUCGGGAUUAUUGGGCGUAAAGAGCACGUAGGCGGCUAUGUAAGUCGGUUGUGAAAGCCUUCCGCUCAACGGAAGAACAGCAUCCGAUACUACAUGGCUUGAGUGCGGGAGGGGAGAGUGGAACUUCUGGUGGAGCGGUGAAAUGCGUAGAUAUCAGAAGGAACGCCGGCGGCGAAAGCGGCUCUCUGGCCCAUAACUGACGCUGAGUGUGCGAAAGCUAGGGGAGCAAACGGGAUUAGAUACCCCGGUAGUCCUAGCCGUAAACGAUGGGCACUAAGUAGAGGGGUUUU